rnacentral:lncRNA from 1 species
UUUAUGAUUGCAUGAAGUUAUCCUCUCCGAUCCAAUCUUCAGGAAUUGGAGAAGGUCAUGCCUACGUCGAUGAGAAAGACACAUGGAAAGGCUGAGAGGACUGAUGACUUUGAUUGCACCGUUUGCCUGAAACUGCUGUAUGAACCUGCUACAACUCCAUGUGGGCAUACAUUCUGCCGAUCAUGCCUCUUUCAGUCUAUGGAUCGUGGUGAGUUUAUACUUUAUAUGGUUCUUCUCUUUACUAUUGUGUUGUUUAUUAAUGCUUUGUGGAAUAUAUAGGCAACAAAUGUCCACUAUGUCGAACUGUCAUUUUUAUGACUCCAAGAACAUGCGCUGUCAGGUAAAAAGGAUUGGAACGCUUAUGCUUUAAGAUUCUUAAAGGUCCAAUGCCAUACCAUGUAAUAGUAUAUUGGAACGCUUAUGCUUUAAUAUUAUGUGAUGGCAGUGUGACAUUGAAUAACAUCAUACAAAAGAACUUCCCAGAGGAGUAUGCCGAAAGGAAAUCAGAGCAAGACACUCUGGUCCACUUAGGGAAUGAAAGUAUGCCUCUUUUUGUCAUGGAUGUGAUCAUCCCUUGUCAGAAGUUGUCUCUUCACAUAUUUGAACCAAGAUAUAGACUAAUGGUGAGUUCUUUCGUUGUCUUUCACGGUUCUGUACAUUUUAAAACUCCCCUGGCUCGCUUUCACAAAAUUCUUAAAUGAUAUAAGAAGUAAAAGCUGUUGUAAGGUCUUCAUAAAUACAUAUCUCAUUUAGGAGAAGAAUAAGCCAAGAAAGUCAAAUGUAGUCAAGAUAAAAGGGGUCUCUACAUAAGAGCUAGUGGAUUGAAACUUCUAUGGUUCACUCUAGCUUGCAGCAGUAUUGCUAUUUGCAUUCAGAAAACUUCUAUCUGAAUAUCUACAAGUCUCUUUGAUAGUUGUACUUUGAUUAACAUGCGCUAACUGAAACAGGUGAGAAGAAUAAUGGAAGGAAACCAUAGGAUGGGAAUGGUGGGUGUUGUGUCUUUUGCCUUAUUGCUUCUUGACUAUACAUUCAUAAAACGUUUCUGACUACUAAGUUUGCCCAUUCUAAUGUUCAUAGGUAGCUCUUGAUUCUGCGACAGGUUCACCAGUGGAUGUUGCUUGCGAAGUCGAAAUCACAGAGUCUGUUGCUUCUUUCUUUAUGAUAAUUCUUAAUGUCCUUCAGUAGAUGAGUUUAUCUCGGGAUCUACUCACACAGAGUCUGCUAAUGUUUUGGAAUUACACAGGUGUGAUCCACUUCCUGAUGGGCGUUUUGUCCUGGAGGUGAAUAUUAUUUACUUCUCUUGUGGCUUUAUUUAAUGUGUAAGUUGUCAAAGGAUCAACUUAGUAUAUCUGCUUUUUUCAGCUUGAAAGCCAUAGAAGGUGUCGCAUUGUAAAAGCUUGGGAUCAAGAUGGGUAAGCUUAGUAUGAUUUGUUUGAGUGGACCACUGUCAUUUCCGAAUAUGAUUGUUCUUAAGCUUAGCAUUGCAGUUGGAUCUCUAUCUCAUACUCUAAUCAUUUCCAGUAGUAUGACAGUACUUGAUCUUUUUAUUCCUGAUUUUCUCCUUUUAAACAUAGUCUAUGCUUUCGUGUUAAGAGUGUGGUAGUUACAUGUUCCUACAUCGAAUAUUUCCAUAAAUUUUUCAACAUAUGUGAAGAUCAAAUAUUCAAUCCACAUGCAACAUGGGUGUGGAACUUUGUGUCGUACAUGUAUUAUCAUUUUGGUCAUAUCCAAACACAAAUGCAUAGCUUCUAAAUAUCUUUUUUGUUUUUUCAGAUAUCGUGUUGCAGAGGUUGAAUGGGUGACAGAUAUACCACCACAAAGCGACCAAGAGAAAGCAGAUGUAUGAUUACAUCUCUUUAGCUUAUGGCAUUACAAUACUUCUUUGCCUUUAUAACGAGUUUAUUUCCCUUUCUUAUUUUCACUUUUCUUUGCGACUUGUUACAGCUGCGGGAACUGACGACUAGUGCAGCAUCAUUUGCUCGGUCAUGGCUAGAGAGAGCAAAGGAAGCAGCUAGACAAGGAGGUAAGAAACUAUUUUUAUCAAGCUGCGAAACGAAAGUGAACUAACUAGUCAUGAGUUCUGUUUUAUGACAGUAACUAUUAGUUGUGCCACUUUGUAUGCUAAUUAGCCUUUUAGCAUUUUCAGACAUGAUCUAGUCUUUCACUUCUUCUUUUUCAGACAGAAGAAGACUUGAAACACUUCUAAUUGUUGAAUCUAUGAUGCCUACACCUCAAGAUCCAGAGCGCUUCAGUUUCUGGGUAAUGCUGUUAAAUUUGCAAAGCUCUCUCUAAAGCACAAACUCUUGGGAUAUAUUGUUUCUCAAUGUCUUUAUUUUUUUGGGGGGGGGCGUCAGCUUGCGACAUUAACAGAUAGGAGACCUUCAGAAAGAUUGGAACUACUUCGGCUUCAGGAUACUGGAGAGGUACUUGAAUAUCAACUAGUCUACUUUGCUUGAUAUGAGAUUGUAUCUGUUUCACUUCUUUUGAUUUUGGGAACUUUUUGUUGCAGAGAAUAAGGCGCGGGUUGAUAUAUCUUCGGUCAGUAGAACGAGGAUGCACAAUGCAAUGAACCGUCACCGUGUACAAGCAAGAGAUCAAACUUGGGAUCUGUUCAUAAGAAAUUUGACAAAAAAAAAACAUGAUUUAUUGAAGGAAUACAAAAAUAUAAGAGAUUAUUGGGGGGAUAGAUAUCAUCAUGUUGUGUAUUGAAACCAGACUACCAUAUUGUUCGUCAUGGUGAUCCUUGUAGGAUCAUUAUUCAAUUUCAACUCAACACUUUAUUAAGACAUAACAAGUGAAAAGCCAUUGAGCAAUUGAGGCAUCUAGUAAAAUAAACUAAUGUAACAUAGCAUUGAUGAUCUUUAAAUCUACAUGACAUCAACAUAAUCCACAUUGUAUAUUUCGCAUUUCUGACACUUGACAAUUUCUUUGACAGCAAAUCGCACUCUUGAUGAGGUUUAUUUGUCUUAAAUUCAAAAGUUGAAGGCUUUUAUUGAAUUAGAUGAAAGUCGGAGGUUCAUUUCAGAUAUUCAGAAAAGAAAGAAAAUAAAUUAAGAUGCGUCCAUAACAAAGAGUUAAUAAUAAUAAUGCAUCACUGUCUUAAACAUAAAAGGAUAUACGCGGGGCAGAGGAUAACUAUUUGAUCGGAAUCAGAUGGCGGAGGAAACUCUGUCUGUCGUCGUCGAUGACCUCCGUCUCCUAUCGGAAUCUCUCCCCUUCCUCACUACGAUUCUCUUUCGUUUCUGCACAUUGCACAAUCUCCUACCCGAUCUCUCUGUCUCUCUCGGGAGCUUUUUUUUUUUUUAUUUAUUUUUUUUUUUAAUAAUCCAGGGGUUCCAGUCAUUCCCGCAUGGUGUCCAGAAGAGGCAGGAUAGUUUCCGCAUGGUGGGAAUCGAACCCGGACGGUGAUUGCCACCACAGGCCCGUCCUGCCACUUGGACUACCUCGUCCGGACAGCUACUUUUUAUAUGCUUCUGCCUUUCGAUUUAACUUAAUAGGUUUUGCAAAAUCUAGUAUCCAUGUCUGUGUGCGUAUAUGUUUCGUGACGUUUGCUGAAUUCUCCGUUAUGAAUUGGUUUAUUAAAACCAGAAGAACAUGAAUGUUGAAGGUUGAAGCUUGUUGCUAGUAUUUUUGUAGUCUUGAAUGUGGAAGAAAGAUUUGCUAAACUGCUUAACAUCAAAGCCUCUUCUAGUUUUUCAUUCUCUCUCACCGGCAUGGAAAUAUACUAAAUUGUAGAAGGAAAAACGUCUCUUUGACAUGGUUUCUAAGAUAACUCAGUGUGCUGUGUAUUGCUGUUAGUAAGUACAUGUAGUUAGGUUAUGUGUGCAUGUCAGAUAUUGGAAUGUGUACCCAAAUUUAUUUGAGGAUUAGAGUCAUUAGACUUGUAGUAAGUGUUUUAAGUGGAAAGUACAUUGCAGACCAGCUUUAACAUUUUUUUUUUUUUUUUGUUUAAAUUGAUCAUUACAGGAAUUCCGGUUCAGGAUACAUGUGAUUUUAUAAACGUCGGUUGGUUCUUUGUGCGCUAAAUUUCUUUUACUUAUUUAUGUUGUGUAUUAGCUUUGCUAAUACUAUAUAGGCUGUCAACAAAUCUAGAAUGGAGAAGGGACUAUCCCUUGGCGUUGAGGAAACAGCAAAUUAUCAGUCAUGUAUACUGUUGCGGUAUACUGAAAAAAAGAAUAAAGAUUUCUUCUGUUUUUAUAAAAGCAAAUUGAAUUAUUUGAUAGUUCCAGCUUGCAACAUAUUAUAGAAGAUCUUCAAAGAGAGAAUGUUGCGGUAUCCCGCAAAAUAUAUAAAACGUCCUCUGCUGGCUUCUUUUACCAUCUUCAAUUCUAAUUCUUAGUAUAUAACAUAUUGUUAUAGAGAUCUCAAACUCAGGUUUUAUGGCAACACGUUUCAAAACCCUGCGUCUAAGUUUCAAGGUUUCAAAGUCAUGGCUGAUUCAGGUAUAGACUCUGAAGACUUUUACCCUUAUACACAGCUGUUGGUUCUUGUUUUUUAUUUAUGCACAUGAUUACUUAAUGUAGUAGAAUUACCUAAGCAUGCUUUUGAAACAUCCUACAAAAUAUCCAAGCAAUCUGGCAUGGUUAUUCAUAUGUUGAAGUUGCUAAACGUUUUUUUGGUUCAUAAAUGUUGAUGUUGGCAAGGCAUAUUGGAUCGAGCAAAGCAUUUUCUCUAGCAUCAAAUAUAUAUAUAUAAAAACGACAGCAUUUCUCCAUGAUCUAAUUUAAUAUUAUUUAAUUAAUUUUUAAAGGAGUCCCUUCAGAUUGUUGACUUUUGAUCUCCAUCAUCUACUAGUUCAGAGCCGUGUAGUUCAGAGAGGGGAUCUACAAAUCCUGUGAGUAAAAAUAGAAAGGUUCACUGAUUAUGGUUAGUAGAUAGAUGUGUACGGUUUAAGUGGCAUCUUCAGGUCUCUCUGUGAGUGACAUCUAUAGAAGGAGCGGCAACAAGUGAAAUGGUUCAGGAUGCGUUGAGAACCUCCGGAAGUGGUGGAGGACUUCCGAAAACGGCUGUAUCUAAUGGCGGAGGGAGAGGCCGUGGCUUGUUGUUACGCGGCUGGCAGGUCCAGAAUACCUCAAUGAACAUCAAAAUCAUGAUUCUCUGCGGCUUCGUGACCAUUCUCGUUUUACUUGGCACAGUCAGUUUUGGUAACCUUGGAAGCUCCAACGCUGACGACGCUGUUAAUCAAAAUCUCAUCAAGGAAACCAAACCGAUUCUUGCCAAGAGCCCAUCUGCUUCGGUUCCGAACGACUUGGACUUGGAGGAGCCGCCGAAAGCUGAGGUUAAUCCCAACGUGACGUACACUCUAGGGCCCAGGAUCACCAACUGGGACAGUCAACGCAAGGUAUGGCUAAAUCAGAACCCUGGGUUUCCUAGUAUAGUCAACGGCAAAGCUAGAAUCUUGCUUCUUACCGGGUCUCCCCCUGGACCCUGUGACAAACCCAUUGGAGACUAUUAUCUAUUGAAAUCAGUGAAAAACAAGAUUGAUUACUGUAGGAUUCACGGGAUAGAGAUUGUGUACAACAUGGCACAUCUAGAUGAGGAACUCUCAGGGUAUUGGACGAAAUUACCUAUGAUUAGGAGAUUAAUGCUGUCUCAUCCAGAAGUAGAAUGGAUUUGGUGGAUGGAACCUACAGUGAGGUUCACAUCAGGGGGAGUAGUGCGUGUUGUACUCUUUUUCCUUCAUCAUGGUUUUGUCCCACUGGGUUUUCUUUAUAAAGUUUUAAUGAGGCAACAUGAAGCGUACUACAAAUCCUGUAUGGUUAUGGCAUCCAAGAGGGAGUGUUAUAAAUCAUGGAGUGGAUUGCCAUUAACCAGACCCGGUCCAAGACCGGCCCAAUACCUAGAAGAUGGAGAGACGGCCGAAGCCCUAGAGAGAGCCGACUUCAGGAGAGAGAGAGGCGGCCACAAAGCUUAGAGAAAAUGAAACUCUUUCCUUUUUCUAGUAGAUGUAAUCUUUCCAUUAUUAUGUAUUAGUAGUUUUCCUAAUCCUAGUGAGUUUAGGUUUUAGAUACUUUCCAUUUAUCUUCAUCUUGUAAUCCUUAUAUAAAGGAACCCCCUUGAUCGUUAAUAAGAACACACAAAAAAAUAUUCAGUCUCUAAACUCUCUAAUUCAUUAAAAGUAUCAGUGUAAUUAACCAGCAUGAGAGUUAACGUGAGAGCGACACAUAAGAAACUGAAUCCUCAAAUAAUGUUAUAAAGAUUUAUAUAGAUAAAUAAUAAGAUUAUACAUUAAAGUAAAUAUCCGCAUAGGUCCGUUUAGGCGUCCGCGUAUACAUCUAGCCGCUAGGCACUACGAUCACCUGGAUAGCCUAUUUUAGAACACUGGUGUUGACUAUAAAAGCUUUUAGCUUAGCCAUUGGUUCAUUGUAACAAUAUUUAAUUAUUAUUCAAUUGUAAAAUAAUUGGUCAGAUUGGAGAAUCCUGAUAGCCUCAAAUUGUUUUCUCGACCCAAUGAUCUCAGGAGGAACAUAAAGGAUUCACCUUUUAGUGAGAGCUAGAGAGAGAGAGAGAUUGAAGAAGGAAGAAACUUGGAGAGAGAAUAAACACGUAGGAGGGUUCUAGUCCGUGGUUGCAAACGAAGGACGCACAAGAGUACACGACGAUACUCUCUGCGUUGCUUCCUCCUUUCAAUUUAAUUCCUUCUCUUUCCCCCAAAUUGUCAAUCUUUCAAUUUCGUUGCUCGAUGUCGCACGAAGAGUCUCUUCCGGCAUUCACUUUGUUCGGUUUGGAUGAUGUCGAAAACUAUGGUCUGGUGAGUGCUUAUGAUCACUUGAUUGGUUCCUUCUUUGAUAUCAUGUUCUAACUGAGGCUUGUAUUAAUUCACAUCAUCAUUGAGGUUGAUUAUCUGAGACUUUUGUUCUUGAUAUUGCAGGUCAGUGAAGCUGACAAUUCAUUGCCUUUGGACAUACACAAUCAGGUGUUUCAACUUGUUGAGAAGGGAAACCAAUCAUUCAAAGAUUCUCGCUUUGAAGAGGUGAAUUAUUGAAUCUCUCUUUUUAAGUUUUUUUUUUCUCUUGGUCUUGCUACUUCAUUAGGAAUUGCCUGAAACGAAGCAGUGAUUAGUUCAAAGCAAACUGAUUUGUUCUGUAUGUAUUGGAUGUCUUGUAGCUUUUUGGUGUAAUUUACUUUUGGAGUAAGUUUCUUGCUGAACAUGAUAAUGAUCGUAGCACUUUUCAUAUGAUACAUACAAAUGCUUACUGUCUUCCAACAGAACAUUCUGUAAAUUUGUUAAAGUUUAAAGCUUUGGUGCUGAAACUCUCAAAUGAGACUCUCAAUUAUGUUCUUGCCAAUAACAUAUCUUUUUUCUUCUUCCAGGCGAUUAGCAAUUAUUCAAAAGCCUAUUCUAUUAAGCCUCUUGACCCUAUUGUUCUAAGCAAUAGAAGUGCUGCUUAUAUAAGGUAAGCUUUCAUCUAACCUUUUCCAGACUUCCAAUGGAAUUUUCAUGUUGUUUAACUAUUUUUUUCCCUUUUACUCGGUUCACAAAUUUUACCGGUACUGACACAUUCUUAUAUCUUUCCAUCUUUCAACCUCUUGUUUUUUUUUAAGACUUGGACAAUAUCUGAAGCAGAGAUCUGCAUCAGUUUCGGAAUAUACACCUCUGAACGGUUUUGAUAUGUCGAUGCUUGGUGAAGUAUGUACUCUACUUACUUAACCUAUUUUACUAGCAGUUGCAAAAUUCAUCAACUCUGACUCACCCUUGAAAACCUGAUAAUUUCCUACAGCUUGCUCUCAAGGAUGCUGAUAAGCUAAUGAAUCUCCAGAGCAGUUCAGUGAAUUCAUAUACCACAAAGGCUUGUGCCCUCAUGUUGGUAUGUGCCAAAUUAUUCUUAUAUUCAUUUUUCUUUUAGUCAACAAAUCUUUAUCGCUUGUCUUUAUUUCAAGGUACUAUCAAGAGUUUCUCAGUCUGCUUCGUUUCACAAUUGUCAAUUUUGUUUUGAUUCUGCAGCUAGAAAGAUAUGAGUUAGCACGUGACACUAUCCUCUCCGGUCUACAGAUUGAUCCUUUUAGGUACAGUAGUCUAUGUGUACCAUUUCUGAUUCUGUCUUGAUGCCUAAUAGAAUGUGUAGUUUCUAAAGUGUGAGGUUUCUUUAUGAUUGCAUGAAGUUAUCCUCUCCGAUCCAAUCUUCAGGAAUUGGAGAAGGUCAUGCCUACGUCGAUGAGAAAGACACAUGGAAAGGCUGAGAGGACUGAUGACUUUGAUUGCACCGUUUGCCUGAAACUGCUGUAUGAACCUGCUACAACUCCAUGUGGGCAUACAUUCUGCCGAUCAUGCCUCUUUCAGUCUAU